rnacentral:misc_RNA from 1 species
CGCGAUUUAGUGCAAGACGGGGCGGUGAGUUCCCGCGCAGGUUCAUGUUGAGCAGCGUGCAAAUAAUGCUAGACGAUGAGAUGCGCGCCUUCCGUUCGCUGAAAUACUCCGAUGACUUGCCCGGCUUAGUGCACCCCAAGUACCUGAGCGUCUACUGGCCGUGCGACGCUCACUCGUUGGGUGCGCUGGCGCGUUUCAUGCUGUGCGAGACCCUCAGCGGCGAGACGGCCAGCGACGCGCUGCGGUGGAC